AGCUCAGUUGGUUAGAGCAUCAGAUUGUGGUUCUGAGGGUCGUGGGUUCGAGCCCCAUC
rnacentral:tRNA from 1 species